CAGGGCGGCCGCAGCCCCGAGCCGCUCCCGCACGGCUGCCCGGCCCGGCGGCGGCACCGGCCCGGCGGCAUCUUCGAGGAAGCGCAGCACGGCCAUGGUUUGAUCCUGUGUCGUGAGUCGUGCAACGGUAGAAUCCUUAAGGUGAGAGAAGGCAGGAUUUUCCCUCUUUCAUUGCAGUUUCUGGGUUUACAGAUAAGAGAAACAGCAGCCCAGAACACAUUCAUCAGUGUAGAUGUGUGGUUUCUGUAACAUUGGAGUUGUCAUUUCUUCACCUUUUUCUUCUGGAAAACCAGCAUUGCUGCACAGAGGAGUUGAAGUCUGAUGCUGUACUAGGUUUCAACCAAUUUGGUUAAAAUGAGAACUUCUCCCCAGAAAUAGAACCCAUCUGAGGAGCGGGCAUCCUUUCUGAUGGUCAAAAUCCUAGCUUGAAUAUAUGAUGUUGUUCUGA